GGUCUGGGCUUCCACAGAGAGAGACUGUUUUUGAGCACAUCUGGAGUGACUCACAGGGCAUGUGAUCUCCUUGGCAGUGGGGUGGAUAAAUAUAAUUUUUGUACUUGAGUUCCAUGUGUUGGAUGCACCCACUGGAAUUUUUCUUUAACAAACAGACCCGCGGAACUUGUUAGAGAGCCCGGCGAAGAGUUGGCUGCUCUCCCUGUCCACACUUACAAUACCAGAGCCAGGGGCGAGGGCUGGAGGCAGAAUUGGGAGCCUGCCUGGCAGACACCAGGGCUGAUUGAGCCUAAAGCUGCCUUUAGGACAGCAAAAUCACUGUGAUGCCUGGGCUGAGUGUCACUGUUGCCUGGCCCUGGGGCUUGACUAGGAUAUUGGUACCAAUAGCCUGUGUGUGGUCUGCCCAGGUCCUGUAUAGGUGGGAAGUUGGCAGGUUGUGACUGAGCUGAAGUGGAGAGGUGACAUGGUACAUUGAUUAUCCAUGCGAAGGUGCAUAGGUAAUGAUCCAGGAGCCCACAGGGGACCCCCAACUCACAUCUGCGAUGCUUCCAUUUCUGGGCUAUGCCUAAGACCUGGGAACAAACCACUUUGAUUUUCCUAAGCAAAAAGGGAGCGUUUUUCCAUAAUCAUUGUAAUAUACUGCCAUCGACACCUAAUUCUUUCCCAUACUGCUUCCUCAACUUCUCUGAAAUGAUAGGGAAUGCUAAAGCUUGAAGGACAUUUAAAGAUUACAUCAUCCUAUGGGUUUUCCAGUUGGUUGAGGUGGUGCCGAGGGCUAAAGGGCUCCUUGAGAGGCCUCCUCCAAGUUCUACACUACUGCAAUCAGAGCUCCGCUCUUCUCUGUUAUGAGAAGUUAUUUGGGAGCCAGGCAUGGUGCUUCAUGCCUAUAAUCUCAACAAUUUGAGAGGCCAAAGUGGGGGAAUUGCUUGAGGCCAGAAGUUCAAGACCAACUGAGGCAAAAUAGAGCCCAUCUCUACAAAAAAAUGAAAAAAUUAGCUGGGCAUGGUGGCAUGUGCUCGUAGUCCUAGUUACUCAGGUGGCUGAGGCAGAGGAUCGUUUAAGCCCAGGCGUUCAAGGCUGCAGUGAGCUAUGAUAACAGCACUUUACUCCAGCCUAGGUGACAGUGAGAACCUUUCUCUAAAAAAAAAAUUUUUUUUUAAACCCAGUUGUUUGGAAAAAAAAAAAAGGUAGGUCCAGGUGUUGUGGCUCACGUCUGUAAUCCAAGCACUUUGGAGGCCAAGGUGGGCGGAUCACCUGAGGUCGGGAGUUCAAGAACAGCCUGACCAACAUGGUGAAACCCAGUCUUAAAAAAAAUAAAUAAAUAAAAAUGGAAAGAAAAAUAAUGGACUACAUCUGAAAACCAGUACUUUCACUAAUAUUAACAGUAGCUAUUAGGUGCUUAAUUUGUUUUGGGCAGAAUGCUAAAUGCCCUCCUUGUAUUAACUGAUUUAAUGCAUGCACUGAGCUAGGAGGUUAGGGCACUAACCAGCAGCACACUCCAACAGAAAUGUAAUGUGAAUUGCAAAUGUCACUUAACAUUUUUUUUCUUUUUCUUUUUGAGAUGGGUUCUCUCUCUGUUACCCAGGCUGGGGUGCAAUGGCAUGAUCUUGGCUCACCACAACCUCCACCUCCCGGUUCAAGUGAUUCUCCUGCCUCAGCCUCCUGCAUAGCUGGGAUUACAGGUGUGUGCCACCACACCUGGCUAAUUUUUUGUAUUUUUAGUAGAGAUGGGGUUUUGUCAUGUUAGCCAGGCUGGUCUUGAACUCCUGACCUCAGGUGAUCCUCCUGCCUUGGCCUUUCAAAGUGCUGGGAUUACAGGUGUGAGCCACUGCUCCCAGCCCAACAUUUUCAACUAGUCAUAUUAAAAAAAAUGUAAAAAGAGGCUGGGCACGGUGUCUCAUGUCUGUAAUCCCAGCAUUUUGGGAGGCAAAGGCUGGCAGAUUACCUGAGGUCAGGAGUUCAUGACCAGCCUGGCCAACAUGGCAAAACCUCAUCUCUCCUAAAAAUUAGCCAGGCAUGGUGGUGCACACUUGAAAUUCCAGCUACUCAGGAGGCUGAGGCAGGAGAGUCUCUUGAGGUGAAGGUUGCAGCCAGCCAAGAUUGUGCCACUGUACUCCAGCUUGGGCAACAAGAGCGAAACUCUGUCUCAAAAAAAAAUUUUUUUAAAGUAAAAAGAAACAAGUGCAAAGAAUAGUAAUGACAUAUUUCCUUUAAUUCAGUAUAGUCAAGAUAUUAUCAUUUCUACAAGUAAGUGAGUAGUAUAGCAAGAUACUUUAUACAUUUUUUACAUGAGGUCUUUGAAAUCUAAUGUGUAUUUCACACUUACAGCACUUCUCAAUUCACACCGGCUCUGUUUCCAGUACCUGCUAGCUCCACGCAGCCAGUGGCUCCUGUAUAGCUCAGUGCAGAGCUAGAAGGUGAGAGGGCAGGCAGGCUCUGGGGAAAGAUGCCUGUCUUUGUAUCCCAGCUCUGCCACUGACUAGCUGUGUGAUAUUGGUGGAGUUCCUUAAUCUCUCUUGGGCUUGAUUUUCUUCAUUUAUAGAAUGGGGAUAAUAAUUUCUUCUUCACAGGGUUGUUUCAUGGAAUCAAUGCAUUAAUACGUACAAAUCUUGAGAAUAGUAUCUGAUACAUAGUAAGCAUUGAAUACAUGUGAGCUCUAUACACACAGAGAAAACAGGCUCAGAGGGGUUAAGUAAUUAGUCCCAGGUCAUCCAGCUAUUAGAGCUGGGAUUUUAAACAGGUCUAUGUGAGUCCAUAGCCCCCAUGCAGACCCACUCCCCUAGCUGGCCUUAAAGCUUUCUGUUUUGGGAACUCCUUGUUGAAGUGCUGGUAAGCCAGUUCUGGAGGGCUGGGGAGAAACCUUGAUUUGUAAUGCCUGCCAAUUUCCCUGGUGAAAAUUCUCCCCUCAUGACUGAUUUCGAGCUACUGAUAAUUUAACAAGUGGCUUGCAAAAUUUCUGAAGCAUUAACAAUCGGCUCUCAGGAAGUCUGUAAGAGCUGGCUCCGACACACCAUGGCCUCUACUCACCAGAUUGGUCCUACUGGCUCUAAUUAUCUUUGCUUCUAGUGUAAUGUUUUCUUUUUCUACUGUGUAAAUCUUCAAGGAUCACUCAAAGGACCUAGCACGGGGUAGCAAGCACCCUGCCGUGGCCCAUUGAAUACUCAAUGAUUGAUGCUGAAGCUGAGAAGGCUCAGGCCCCCCUGCUCUCUGGCUGACACUCUCUUGAGUGAGGAAUAUGGAUGUGAUUGAGAAUCCAGGACCAGAAAUCACGAUCUUGGCCUCCAGUCCCAGACUUUUCACAUCUGCAAGUCUCAAAUCUCCAAACUGUCACCUACUGUUGACAAACUGGGGUGAAGAUUAGCUUUUGGAUUUGGGUUGGGAAUAAAUGUGUUUGUAACUAAUUUCAUUUGUCCCAGGUCAUCCAGCUGGUAGAGCUGGGAGGAGAAUGUCUGCAGUUUCUCAAGGUGCCUGAGUGAAGUCUUGGGAAGGCCUGGCCUAGCUUACAGUACUGAUUUUUUUCUCUCCCCAUGUUCUUCUUGUUCUGUGGCAAUCCCGAGCGCACUGGUUGAGUGUGCCAAGGAAAUGGAUAACACUGCCUUUGGUAGCAGACAGUGAAAUCGUGCCAGUGGAGCUUCCCAGAGCAAUUGAUUAGGAAGAGUAUAAAAGCCCCUUUGUCUGGGUUAAAUAGAAGCCUGAUGGUGUGUUGGAGGGUGCACGGCAGUUCGGCUCACCAGCAGUUCGUUUGUUCAUGGCACACAGGACCUGCUACUUCAGAUGACACUGGUCUGGCAGGCGACAGGACACAAAGAUACUCCAGUUGGAGUCCUUCAUGCAUUUCUGCCAAGACAGGGAGCCCAGUAACACGGAACUCCUUGGCUGCCAAGACCCGCCCUGCCCUCUCUCCAGCCCGGCCCUCUCUCCCUUUCUCUGCCUUUCCGGCUACAGCAGCGUGGCAGCAGCAUUGAAGAGGCGUCUGUUCAGACCCAGGCAGGAGCGCCUCCCCUCCUGUGGGGACCUGGCUUCCCCUGGUCUCCGUAGCUGCUCUUGUUCUCCGGUGUCUUCAGAGGACCUUGUAUACUAGAUUACAAAAUACAAAUUCCAGUGAAUCUUGAAAGGGUGUUCAGUGCGACCUUAGGCAAGAAGGUCGAAGCAGCCAGACGGGAGGUGACUCCACGUGAGGUUUGUCUCCGAUGCUGCCCAGCGCUGAAUGUAGGUCUGUAUGAUUCCUGGUGUUUCUGGUAUGGACCCCUCCAAGUCCUCAUCUGCAACAAAGGAACUCUGCUGCACUUCAGGUGACCGGGCCCGGACUGAGUAGGGGCAGAGCCAGCUAUGGGGGAGGGAUGGAGAUCGGGCAGAAAUAGGAUGUGGUAGUGUCACCAAAUUUAGCACAUUAAAAUACAGGAUACCCAGUUAAAUUAGAAUUUCAAAUCAAUAAUGAAUGACUGCUUAGUAUAAGUAUAUCCCAAAUAUUGCAUGGGAUAUACUUGUAUAUUGAAAAAUUAUUUACUGUUCAUCUGAAAUUCAGAUAUAACUGGGCAUCCUAUGUUUUAUCUGACAAUUCCUUCUUGAGACUCUCAAAGAAGCCUGAAUCCUUGAUGAUGGUAAUGAGUAGUGAGGUUGACGGUGUUGGGCUGACCUGUUUCUCUUUUCUUUUCUUUUUUUUUUGGAAUAGUGUCUUGUUCUGUUGCCCAGGAUGAAGUGCAGUGGUGCAAUCAUGGCUAAUGAAGCCUGGACCUCUCGAGCUCAAGUGAUUCUCCCACCUCAGCCUCUUGAGUAGCUGAAAUUAUAUGCAUGUGCCAGCACCUGGCUAUUGUUUUGAAUUUUUUUUUUUUUUUUUUUUUUUGUAGAGAUGAGGUUUCACCAUGUUGCCCAGGCUGGUCUCAAGCUCCUGGGCUCAAGUGAUCCUCCUACCCUGGCCUCCCAAAGUGCUGGUAUUAUAGGUGUGAGCCGCCAAGCCCAGUCUUCUGGCCUGUUUCAAAUGGAAGAUGCCUGCCUGAGCCUGCUUCUCUUUUACCUUCUCUCAUCUGUCUGGAGUUUCUUGAAGAGUUAGGAAAUCAUAUUGCCUUUGAGAAGCUCAGGCAGCCAAGGAGAGAGAAGUUUUGUAGGUCACUGCUAUAAGAAAUUUCUUUCUCCUGUUCCCUUUUGUCUUGCUCCUGCAAGAGGAACAGCGCCCUCUUUAAGGAUCUGAGGACAGAAGGAAACUCGGGCAGAUAAAGCCGGCACACACUGUAGCUCGUGUCCUGGGGAGAUAAUGGCUCUGAAACUGCUAAAAUAAAUGGUCUGCUUUGUUCUUGAAUAAUCAUCAGUUGGCAGCUUUGUUCUGUCUUCCCAGCAGCUGGAUGAGAUUUUGAUUUCAGAGGAAAAAGAGUGACCUGGCGCUGAUCAUAUUGGACAGAGGGAGAAAGGAAAUUUACAACAGCCUCCCAUGUGUGGUAUGCUGAUUUGAGCUCCUUCUCUUCUUUCUUGUAUGAAUCACAUUCGUAGUGGAUCAAGAAUGGCCACAAAUAAAUCCUUUGCUACUCCUCAUAUUGAGAGGUGGAGUCCAAUUUUUCUUUGCUUGAAUCUGGGCUAGCUUUUUCUUGACCAGUAAAAUGCAGUAGAAGUGACAUUCUGAAAUUUCCAUGGCUGGGGUUGAAACUGCCCACUGCGUUCCUUGGAAUCCUUGCUGAGAACCCUGAAUUAUCAUGCAAGAAGUUCAUUACUUCGAGUUCGCAGGCUUAAAAGGCUGCAUAUUGGUGCCAGCUGAGCUCAGCCUCCCAGCAAUCCCCAUCAAGGCAUCAAGGUGCAAGACAUGAGCGAGGCCAUCUUGGGCCCUCCAGCCUAACCCAUCCUCCAUCAAAUGAUCUUUGCUGACACUAUGUGGAACAUAAAAAUUGAACGGCUGACCCUUGUCUGAAUUCCUAACCCACAAAACAGUGAGAUAUAAUAAAAUGGUGGUUUUAUAAUAUUCAUAUAUAUUUGUAACCAACCUUGGUUUUAAGCCACCAAGGUUUAGAAUAGUUUGCUAUGUCACAGAUACCUGGAACUUUGUUGUAGAGAAGACUGGGCACAUGUUAACAGAGCUGAGAGGGACCUAGAGGUCAGGUAUUUCAACUCCCUGAUUUGCACAUAAGAAUUCUGAAUAUUGUCAGACGCCUCCAGAAACCGAGCGCAAAAUGCAGCAAUCACACAGAAGGUGCUGGAGCCUCCUUCCUUCAGCUUUCCCUCCCCUGCCCUUGAUGGCGAAGGCUCUCUUGUGUUUAUCUUUCCUGGAUAACCUCACUGGAAAAGUGCCCAUAAGCAGAAUAAGAUGUAUGGAUGGCCAGCCAUGUCAUCUUGUCCAUGUGAAGUUGUUCCAAAAAUCUGCUUUUUAGCACUGGUGUCUGUCUGCCUCCCAGGGCCACAGAGAGCUCUCUGAGGUGUAGGACUGUAUUUUCUGUUUGUCUGGCUUCACUCUUGUUUCCAUUCCUUCUAGAGGGCCUACUCCAGGGAGGCUCCCUCUACCCCACUGGGGGCAGCAUCCCAGCCUAAACAAAGAGAUUCUUGGUCUAUACACUCAUAGACAAUCCCAUGACAGGUCCAGUUCCAUAGGCCUGCGACCAGUGAAGUCACACAGGGCCCCAUACACAGAAGAACCCUGUGCUUAAUUUAAUGUUCUGCUGUUGCCAUCAUGAAAUUCUUAGUAAGUUUUGAACAUGGAGCCCUGCCCUUUUAUUUUGUACUGGGCCCUGAACGUGAAGUAGUUGGUCCUGCUGGUGACUCACACUCAUAUGGUGGGACCAGGAGCCUUGGCUAUUUCGUUAGUUCAGCCUGUACCAUCUCACUGGGAACUAGGUGGAGAAGUUAUAUCAGCAAGGAAGGAAAAACCACAUUAAAACAGGAACACUGUAUUCAUGUUUCCCUCUGUCUGACAGAUCCCCUCAAAGACCUUAGGAACAGAUACUCCCAACCCCUGUAAUUAACAACAUGCCCGAAUCUUCUGGUAGAAUUAACCGGGUGUGAGGGUAGGCUGGGAAUGGAGCUACAGCGUCCCGUAGCUCAGGCCUAAAACAACAGAACCUAGAAUGUGCUGACUCUCAGCUCUUCUUCCCCAGGAACCAAGCUGAGGAAGCUCCUUCCCCACCAGCUGGGUUUUUUCUACUUGGGCAGAUAGGAGGGGACAGGGAGGAGCAGGGGUUUCAGGCACCCAGAGCUUGUAUAAUAGGCCAGGAAGGAAAUGAAGAGCUAGGACCCCACCUAGAGCCUUGAUAGUGGUUUAGGAAGCUUGGGGACUGAAGAAGGUCCUCAGCCCCUCCGCAGCAAAUAUGAAUCCCACUCCUCAUAACUGUUGCACACGUGCUAGUCCUUUUUAGCACGCUCCUCCGCCUGCCUCCGGCUUGCCCUUUUGCAUAGCUGCCCCCAUCCAAACACAGCUGUCUCUUUUUUGUCUAUCCCAGCUGUGUCUCAAAAAAAUCAAAAAGUCUGGGUUGGAGGCUUAGCUGAUGUUUCUUUGCCUUUUCUCUAUCUGUUUAUUGUCUGAGAACCAUGAUACUCAAAGUGUGGUCCCCGAACUAGCAGGGCCAGCAUCACCUGGGAAAUUGUCAGAAAUGCUGAUUCUUGAACCUCUUGAAUCAGAAACUCUGGAGUAUGGCUGGUAAUCUGAAUUUUUAACAAGCCCAUCAGGUGAGUCUAAUGAUCAAUCCAGUUGGAAAACCAUGCUCUUUGAAACAUAUGGCAGCAAUAAGGCCCUCUAUUAGCUUCCAGCAUUUCAGAGUUGACACCUGUGUGAUGGAUGCGCUCUCACUUUUGAAAAGGAAAGAGAGUAACUUUCAGGUACAUCACCCCAUCCACACACACCCAAAAGUACACAAAAAGUGGAAGCAUGCCUGGCUCCUCUUUCCUCCUCUAUUUACCAUCUGUUAGCCACGCUUUGAGUUGUUUGAACAAGAGAAUCAGUGUCAGAAUAAACUUGCUUGUAGGGUGUCUGGAAGGCAGGUGCGGCCUGCCACUUCCAAUGCAAGCUGAGAGCAAACACGGCAUACUGAGCCCAAAUCGGGCUUCUGCUGCUAGAGACAGAGCUAGAAUUUAUGUUGCGCUCAGAUGAUGCCCCCUAAUGUGCUGCCUUACCUUGGGGCCUUAAUUAGAAGCAGCAGUGACCCCUGGGCCUGCUGAGCUUUUAUUUGAUGUGAUUGCACAAGACAGCUGAGAUGGAAAACUAGACCUUUUGUUGUUUCACACAUUCUAAAAAGUUUUUUCGUAAAAGCCCCUUUCUUGGUUCUUAUUUGCUGUCACAUGCACGAGGAUAAUUUUUAAAAAAGUCAUACGGGGCAAACAAUUGGUAAAAUCUGGCUUUCCUGUUUGUUCUAGUAUCAUCAGGUUCAACUGAUGCCAUCUCUGCCUCACCUCCUCUUCCUCGCAAGAGCCCUCCCUUCUGCAGCCCCUCCCAUUUAUUUACCAUGGCUUCCCUGCCAGUCUCCUUCCCUUUUCCUUGGGUUCUUCUAGGGCUGUCCUAGUGUUUAGUAUUAGAAGCUUGAACACUGAAGAAAAUAUUCCAUAUAAAAGUGAAAAAUACCCACUUAAAAUGUGGGUGUGUUAAUUUCAUAAUUGCACCCCUCUGAAUUGACCAGAUAAACUAAAAAGCUGUGGAGAUUGAGUUGGCUUGCUUUAUACCCAUAGAAGCAAUGGAGAACACGCCACAGGCUGUCAGACACCAGCAGUAACCUGUAUGAAUGCACAAAGGAGCCGGAAAGCGAUGUGACUUCGUUCCUGGAUCUACCACGUGUGUUGUGUAAAUAAAUUAAUGAGCUCAACCCAGUGCAGUUCUUGGCUCAAAACAAGCCCUAAGUAACUGUACUGUGUGGCACUUCCUGCAUAGCAGAGUAGCCUUACUCUUGCUAACAGGAAUCUCAUAGCAACUGAGGUUGGCUGAUAUAUCAAGGGGAUCUUGCACCUGGACAUGUGGAGCUGUGUUGAUUAGAAAGGCAACGCUUGUUCUCUGUCUUGAUUUCUCUGGGCUUUCAAAUUGUGGCUUAUUCUUGUUUAUUUGGUUUUGAGACAGCCUCACUCUGUCCCCAAGGCUAGAGUGCAGUGGCACAAUCUCGGCUCACUGCAACCUCUGCCUUCUGGGUUCAAGCGAUUCUUGUGUCUCAGCCUCUGGAGUAGCUGGGAUCACAGGUGCAUGCCACCACACCCGGCUAAUUGUUUGGAUUUUUAGUAGAGAUGGGGUUUUGCUGUGUUGGCCAGGCUGGUCUCAAACUCCUAGCCUCAAGUGAUCUGCCCUCCUUGGCCUCCCAAAGUGCUGAGAUUAUAGGCAUGAGCCACCGCACCCAGCCUUGUUUGUUUGUAAAAUUCAUUUAACUUCCUUUAAGCAUACACGGGAAUUUGUUGGAAAAGUCCUGGAGUAUCACGUACAACCCAAGGCCAAGAACUACAGCUGGAGCUACCUGAAGGCCUGGAACCAGGAAGGAAAUGCUGUGAGCAGCCCUUGGGAGAAGUCCACACGGCCAGUUACUGAGGCCUCCAGCCAACAGCCAGUGAGACCCGGAGACUGGCCUGCAACCAUGUGACUGAGCUGAGAGGUGGCUCCUGCAGUUCUGUAGCACUGUGGCCCCAGCUGAUAUAGUGACUGCCACUUCCUGUGAGACCCCAAGAUGGAACCACCCAGCUUAAGUGCUCUGGGUUCUGCCCCAUGGAAACUGGAGAUUAAAAAAAAAACAGGUCCAAAGAAAUCAAGUAACUUGCCUAAGUUCACAAAGCUAGUAAGAGACAGCGCUGGGAUUUGAGCCCAGGAAGCACGACACAGAGCCUGCUCCUACACUCCUUCCUGCACCUCCUUGACUUAAUGAUUUUACAUCUGGUACUUUUGUGAAGGAGUUGUGAACAGGAAAUGCUUUUUUUUGGCUUGAAUGGAUGACAGCUUGGAGAUCCUACGUUUUUUCCAUUUAAGCUCACCUCCAAGGACAGGUGGGAAUUAAACUUUCCAAUUGACAUCAUCAUCAGAUUUGUGACAUCAUCAUCAGAAACUGUCCAUGAAGCCUCUUCCUCCAAUGAGAAAGCCCAAGUAAGCUUUACAGAGUCCGAGACCAUGCUGAAGACUCUCCCUUCAAAGCAUUCGGUAGAAGAGAGAACACACAGACAGACGAGUCCGAUACAAUUUAAAGAGUGAUACCUGCUGUGAGAGAAGUGAUAAAGCUUGGUUGAAUUCUUGGGGUUAUUACAUAAGUCAGACUACAUGUCUUUUUGCACGCCAAUAUAUUCACAAUUGUGUCCAAGUUAAGGGCUCAUGCAUUUUAGAGAAGGGAACGGGGGAUGGUUCACAGAGUGGAGCCAGGGAGAGCAGAUGUAGAAGCCUCAUGUCUGGGAUUAUCAGGGUUCUUGAAGCCUGAGGAUCUUCUCAUUUCCUUAAUGAAGAGAGAACUCCAUACAGAAGCCUGGGCUAUGGCUAGUUCUUGGGCUAUCAUGAGCAAGAAGGCAACCCAAUCUGUGUGAAUAACGGGAAACCCAACUGAACGGCGUUUUAUCGAGAUGUUUCUGUUUGUAUUUCAAUGCCAAAUGUUGAAAGCAGAAAGCUGGUUUUGUUUUGCUAGGGCUGCUGAAACCAGGAGACGUGGACUUGCAAGUUCCCUGCCAUGUCAGUUUCAGCUCCCCAUAAAAAAAGGUUUUUAUCAUCCACAUCCUCACCAUCACUCUUACCAUCACCAUCAUCAUCACCCUUAUCACUUCUUCUUCUUCUUUUUUUUUUGAGAUAGUCUCUAAGGCCCAGCAAUGAGGAAGGAAUGUUUAGGGCCCUGCUCGGGGGGCCUCAGCACACGGCCUGACUCCGCGCAGUCAUGCUCAGAGCAGCCCUCUGUGUGCCUGACCCCUCCCUCUGUUUCUCAAUAGGCGUGGCCUUUGUCACCAGAGUGCUCAGCCCCUGGGACUAACAUUCAUCUAAUUGUCCCGGUCAGAAACCUUGUGCAGUUUUUGGUUUCUUCCUCUUCCACAUCACCCAGAUAUCUCAAAUACACCCACUUCCUUCCAUCUGUGCUGCUAAUGCAGAAUUCCAGACAGCAACAUUUCUCACCAGGAUGACCACACCAGCUGCUUACUUGUCUCCUGCUUUCUCUCUAGUUCCUUCACUUUUCUUUUCUCCUCAGAGUAACCUAGGUAUGUUUUUUAAAUGAUAAAUUAUACCAUAUUACACUCCUUAAAACCCUUCAAUGGCGUCCCAUUACAUGUUGGAGAAAAGUCUAAAUCUCAUAGUAUGAUUAUCAAGGUCCUCCCCUGAUAGAGCCCCUGCCCACCUUCCCAAUGACACCUCCCCGAUCCAGCCCCUGCUCCCCUUCCCAACGUCACCUCCCCUGAUCCAGCCCCUGCCCACCUUCCCAAUACCACCUCCCCUGAUCCAGCCCCUGCCCACCUUCCCAAUGUCAUCUCCCCUGAUCCAGCCCCUGCCCACCUUUCCAAUUCCAUCUUGUUCCACUUCCCCCUUCACUCAUGUAACUUGGGCCACUCUGGCUGCUUUGUAUUUUUUAAAUUGGUGCAACAUUUCCCAUAUCUGGUCUUCUGACACAUUGUUCCCUCUGCAUGGGACACUUUUCCUCCUGAAUGCUUGCAUGGCUGGACUAUUUUUUAUACCUCAGGUCUUGUCUUAAAUGUCCCCUCCUGGCUGGGUGUGGUGGCUCAUGCCUGUAAUCCCAGCACUUUGGGAGGCUGAGGCGGGUGGAUCAUGAGGUCAAGAGUUUGAGACCAGCCUGGACAAUAUGGUAAAACCCCAUCUCUACUAAAAAUACAAAAAUUAGCCGGGUGUGGUGACAUGUGCCUGUAGUCCCAGCUACUCAGGUGGCUGAGGCAGAAGAAUUGCCUGAACCCGGCAAGUGGAGGUUGCAGUGAGCGAAGAUUGUGCCACUGCACUCCAGCCUGAGCAACAGAGCAAGAUUCAGUCUCAAACAACAACAACAAUAAAAUAAAAUAAAAAAACCCUAAGAAACAAAAUAACAGAAAACAAUGUCCCCACCUUAGCAAGGCCUUCCGGAGUGAUCUCCUCAUCUGGCUCCAUCAUUGUGCUUUGUUUCUCCCUGGCACUUAGCAUGCAUUGAGAUCACACAUACAUUUGUUUAUAUUCUUGUUGAAUGCCUGUCUGCUCUCUGCACUGAAGUUCAAUGACGGAAUGGCCCUGUUAGUUUUGCUCAGCGUCAGUUUACUUUGGAACCCCUAACAUAAUGCCUUAAA